UUCGUGCGUUCUCUUAACCAGCAAACCCUGCCUGUGGAGCCCAGGGGAUUAUUAUACAAACAGCCGCUGUAACAAUGGUCUGACCUAGAAUUGUUUGAGAAUCAAGUGAGAGGAUGUCAAGGAAGCAGGAUGUCUGGCCGCCUGCUCUGAGAACUGGGCCUGGAAGAGGGUGGCUAGGGCUGUGGGGGACAGCAGAGGGAGCGGCUGGGCUGACACUGCAGGGACGGGAGGACAGCCAGCCUUGAGGGGUCAAAGAGGCCUCUGUGAGGAUGCGCCUGGGGAGGUACCCCCAUCCACCCUGGCCUCAGUCUCCCCAGUGACAGCAGACACGGGGCAUUCCUUUGCUGCGGUCGUCUGAAACUAGACAGGGUCUCAUCCCAGGCUGGCCUCAGACUCAUAGCAGUCCUCCUUCCUCAGCCUCCUAAAUCCUGGGAUUAUAGAUUUGAGCCAACAUGUCCGGUCCUGAGUUCAACUUUGGCAAGCCUCUGCCAAGCCUUCAGUGUGGCCACCACAAUGCAACACCUGGACAUCGGGGCCAGGUGGGCGAGCACUGGACUGCUAGACUUUUCAACCUUUUCUAGGAUCAGCCAAGCUCAGCUCUUCUCAGGGUGGGAACUCUGCCUUUGCUCUCCCCAGCCAUGAAACUCUUCCCCAGGACUGACCCUCGGAGCAACUGGAAAGAAAAGAGAGAAAAUCAAGACCAGAGAGAUGGCUCAGUUGGGAAAGUGCUUGUUGGAACAGACAUGCAUAUCUGAUUUCAAUCCCCGGAACCCUUGUAAAGAAAAGCUCAUGUAUAGUGUGUGUCUAUAAUCCUGGCACUGGGUAGGUGGAGACAGGUCGAUCCCGGUGGCUCAAUGUUAGCCCAGCCUAAACAACAUGCCUCAGGUCCCCGUGGGAGACCCCAUCUCAAAACACAAGAGAAACUGAUCCUAAGGAACAACACCCAAAACUGA